CUGCUGGAAGAAUAAAAUCUCAAUGCCAAGCUGACAUCUCUCUCAUCUUCGACAGGAACAGCUAGAAGUAGGUCAACCAGCCACCACGUCUGAAAACUGUCCUCGCCAUGGAUUUUGGUCCGUUGCAGGCUGCCCUCGCCAUAGUGGCGAUAAUCUGUUUGGCAUCACCCGUAGACUCAUGUAUCUCUUGUUCCGCCGGCAAAGCCAGGUUAAGAAAUUGUCCAAAAAUUUAUUUUCUUGAUGGAAGUGGAUCCCUUCCUCACACCAACAUGCAAGGCUGGAGAAGGCGUACUGUAAGACCUCAAUGCAAUGAGGGUUACCAUGACAGAGCCCAAGCUUCUUGUAAUAGUCUUGGAAAUUGGUUUCUUAAUGGUGUACAUAUUAAUGCACCUAAUGCAGGAUCCCACUUUUGUGCUCC